rnacentral:sRNA from 1 species
CCAUAGCCCAGAUGGGAGCGACAUCCUUUUUAUUUUUUCUUUAAAAAUAAAAAGAUAUAGCAGACAGCUGGAAAUAGC